rnacentral:misc_RNA from 1 species
UCGAUGUAUGGCUAGUGUGGGGCGAGAUACACGACGUGGAACCUUAAUUGGAUCUGCAAGGGUCUCUCAAACCACCCGAAUCAUACAUCGGUUGUAAGUCGCUGGCGCAUGUCGAUGUAUGGUUUGUGUGGGGCGAGAGGCACAACGUGGAACCUUAAUCGGAUCUGCAAGGNUUUCUCAAACCAUCCAAAUCAUACAUCGGCUGUAAGGCGCGCUUCCAACCAUCGUUGUUGUAUGGCUUGGGUGUGGACGAGGGGCACAACGUGAAUCCGUAAUUGGCCAUGGCGGGUGUUUCUCUAAGCAACCAAGCCAUACAACAUUGGGUUGGGUUCCGACGGUGGGUUUCGUUCCGAUGGUGGGUUCCUUUCCGAUUGUGGGUUUCGUUCUCUUCGUAUCGUGC